UUCUGCUCGUAGGUACUCUUGAAUACUCUUGAAUAAGAGUUCCUUCAAAAAGUCCCCUAUCCGCCUUGUUUUAUUGUGAUACAGGGGGCAAAAUUGUUUGCUUUCAAGUCAAGCUCCAUAUCCCUAGCAACAACAUAAUGGAGGCAGUCAAUCAAUAUAAAUUUAUCCAAAAUCUAAUUCAAAUCCAAUAUAAUACCUAUGUAUAGGUACAUAAGAAAUGUACUGAAUCGAUUCUUUUUAAUGAAUAGAUCCGAUCGUAACUUGGAAUAUUACCAAUCCCAACAAUAGACUUACUAAGCUAGCGCAUUUCAUUCUGGGGAAAUCUACUUAUUCGAUGAAUAAGUGGCCGCAGUUGUACAUGAAAGAGGUGGUGAGGUUGCAUGGAGUGUUAGUAUCUAUCGUGUCUGAUAGUGACUCUUGCUUUACAUCUAAUUUUUGAAAAAGUCUCCAGGCAGCAUUGGGUACUCGGUUACGUUUUAGUACAACUUUUCACCCACAGAUGGAUGAUCAAACAGGGCGUUGAACCAAAUAUUGGAGGAUGUGUUAUGCAUUUGUGCAAUGGAGUUUUCAGGAAGUUGGGACUCUCAUCUGUAUGUGAUGAAGUUUCAUAUAAUAAUAGUUAUGAGGCAACCAUUGACAUGUUUUCAUUUAAGGCACUAUAUGAAAAGAGUUGCAGGUCUUCUGUAUGUUGGGAAGAGGUUGGUGAAUGGAAGUUGCUAGGGCAUGAGUUAGUGCAAAUCACGGUGAGGCAAUACAGAAGAUCAGAGCAUGUAUGCAAAUAGCUCAAAGCUGACAAAAAUGUUACGCCGAUGUUAGGUGUAAAGACCUGGAAUUUGAAACUCGUGACAAGGUAUUCUUGAAAAUGGCUCCUAUUGAGAUUCGGUAGAAAGGGAAAACUAAGUCCACAAUUUAUUGAACCUUUCGAGGUCUUAGAGCGAAUUGGCCUUGUAGCCUAUUAGUUGGCGUUGCCACCAUCUCUCUCUACACUUCAGGAUUAUUUUUAUAUAUCUAUGUUGAGGAAGUAUGUGAUAGAUUCGGCCUAUGUUGUGUACUUUGAACCAUUGCAGUUGAAUGAGAACUUAAGUUAUGAGGAGAAGCCUAUUCGAAUUCUCACCAAGGAGGUGAAGACUCUAUGCAACUGGGAGUUGACAUUAGUGAAAGUUUUGUGGUAGAAUCACCAAUUCAAAGAGGCAACAUGUGUGUGUGUGUAUGUGUAACUAAUCUCUCUCUUUCCUCUGCACGCACACAACACAAGAAAAAAGAAGAAACGAAACGUUUUUUCACAUUUCUCCCACGAACCCUAGCAAGCAACCAACCACUGUCGAUCGUACAACCACCUCCCUCCGAUCUUCGUCAAUCGUCUCACUAUUGCUCUGAGCCCAUCGCCGCUCAAGCCUUGUCGCUUGUCGGUAGAUCUCGUCAUGGAUCGAUGAGUCCGUCCAACCAUGCCGCUGCCCAAUUUUGAAGUCGUCAGUCCCUACCACGCCUAUUCCAUACAUUGCCACCACCAUGCUAGAUCCAAGUCACAUCGUCCAACACAAUCAAGGGGUUUAAUUUUGUUUUUCUCUUGGCAUUGGAAAGAUAAAUUGGAGUUUUGGGGAGGUUUUAGGUUGCUAUCCAGUAGGUCGGGAAACAUUCCGAUAAGAUUUUGGUGGGAUACCUGAAUUCUUUCUAUUACCCAUUGAAUAAUGGUUUCGAAUCUUUGAUGUCUUUAUGUUUUGAAGUUUGGAAUGAAGUUUUAAGGUCGGGAACAUGCUGUCUAGCUUUACAAGGAUCGAUUUUGGGAGGAUUUUUGUUGGCCAACUGAAUUGAGUUUUGGAAUUAAUUUUGGACCAAGCCACAAUUUCGAUCUUGAUGUAAGGUUGUGUUUAGCAAAAGGAAGAUAAGCUUACUUGAGUUUUCUUUUGGACCUAAAUUUUGAGGUAAAGAUAAGAACAUCCCGAUGAAUUACAUGAGGAAUCCAUGAUCGAGCCACUGAGACCAAUCAAAUGCUUUCGCUCAUGCCUUUUCUAUGUUUUCAUGAUUUUAAACUUAGUCAGAUGUCAAAUUUAGAGAAUUUUCCGUGUUUACAUUUUCUAUUAUUUUGGAUGAUGUUUUCUGGAGAUUUUUAAUUUUCUUUUAUUUUCUUAAGGGUGCCCUGUUAAACA